rnacentral:rRNA from 1 species
GACGAACGCUGGCGGCGUGCUUAACACAUGCAAGUCGAACGGAAAGGCCCGGCUUUUGUGGCGUGCUCGUGUGCCGAACGCGGGAGUAACACGCGAGUAACCUGCCCUUGACUUUGGGAUAACAUCAGGAAACUGGGGCUCAUACCGGAGAUGAGCUCCUGCAGCAUGGUGUGGGUUGGAAAGUUUCGGCUGUUGUGGAUGGACUCGCGGUUUAUCAGCUGGUUGGUGGGGUAGUGGCUGACCAAGGCUUUGACGGGUAGCCGGCCUGGGAGGGUGACCGGGGACCAGGGGACUAAGAGACGGAGCAGACGCCUACGGGAGGCAGCAGGGGGGAAUAUUACGCAGUGGGGGGGAGCCUGAUGCAGCAACGUCGCGUGCGGGAUGACGGCUUUCGGGUUGUAAACCGCUUUGGCCUGUGACGAAGCGUGAGUGACGGUAAUGGGUAAAGAAGCAACGGCUAACUACGUG